GAGAAUGUUGGCAUGAGUAGCGAGAUGUGGGUGAGAAUCCCACAGGCCGUAAACCCAAGGUUUCCAGGGGAAGGGUCGUCCGCCCUGGGUUAGUCGGGACCUAAGCUGAGGCCGACAGGCGUAGGUGAUGGACAACAGGUUGAUAUUCCUGUACUACCGAUAACCGUUUGAGAGAAGGGAUGACACAGUAGGAUCUGC
rnacentral:rRNA from 1 species